rnacentral:rRNA from 1 species
AUGAAAGUUAGCUUCAAAUGGUCCAGUGUCCUUACCACACACAAUUCAGAACACCACAUUCAAACAUUUUGGCAAUUUCCUUGGCUCCUUCCGAAAAUCUCCUCUAUCAAGACAUGUUGUGCUUUUGCACUCCACAAAUCUUGCAAACGCAGACCUCUUCAAAUGUUGUUCAUAAGGCAGUUUAUCCUAACCCUUAUGGUCCAACCGCUGGUGGCCUCUGAGCAAACAUCAAAGUCGACGUCUCUGCACAGCUGUGUGCCCUCGCCGUCGCGGCCCAACUGGAAUCGGCGAUGA